rnacentral:tRNA from 1 species
GCGCCGGUGGUGCAAGGCGUACCGUUGCUGCCCGGAAAGCGGAAGGUGUGAGUUCGAGUCUCUCCUGGCGCA